rnacentral:rRNA from 1 species
UACAGAGGUCUCGAGCGUUGUUCGGAUUCAUUGGGCGUAAAGGGUGCGUAGGCGGCGCGGUAAGUCGGGUGUGAAAUCUUGGAGCUUAACUCCGAAACUGCAUUCGAUACUGCCGUGCUUGAGGACUGGAGAGGAGACUGGAAUUUACGGUGUAGCGGUGAAAUGCGUAGAUAUCUGGAGGAACACCGGUGGCGAAGGCGGCAUCCUGGACCGGCAUUGACGCUGAGGCGCGAAAGCCAGGGGAGCAAACGGG